rnacentral:rRNA from 1 species
CAGCAGCCGCGGUAAUACGUAGGGUGCAAGCGUUAAUCGGAAUUACUGGGCGUAAAGCGUGCGCAGGCGGUGUUGUAAGACUGAUGUGAAAUCCCCGGGCUCAACCUGGGAACUGCAUUGGUGACUGCAACGCUGGAGUGCGGCAGAGGGGGAUGGAAUUCCGCGUGUAGCAGUGAAAUGCGUAGAUAUGCGGAGGAAUACCGGUGGCGAAGGCGGCCCCCUGGACAAAGACUGACGCUCAGGUGCGAAAGCGUGGGGAGCAAACAGGAUUAGAUACCCGAGUAGUCCCUGUCUCUUAUAC